rnacentral:rRNA from 1 species
ACCAUAUCCUAUUCCUACGUGCUCUCCAACCCCACGCCUGACCUCAGCGGUGACUUCGACGUCGACCAGCCUCCCAUCGCGCAAACGCCCCAUGCCUCCCCCGCCUGCUCAGUGCCCAGGAGCUCGGCCGAUGAUGCCACAAACGCCGACAAGUAUAGCGCGCCAUGCGCCGCGGCCGUGCCCUUGAUCUCCUCGAUCUUGUCGCGCGUUAGCACGAAGGACGCGAUCAGCAGAGACGGAGGUGGAGGCCCCUGCGCUGUCACUACGCCGACGCCUCGAAGAUCGGCAUGGUGUUGGCCGGCUUUAGGUCGGCGCAGGAGAUCCUAUCGGCGGCAAGCGGCGCGCGCGCCGGUAACAUAGCAGCCUGGUCCGAGUAGUGGCGUAGGCGGGUGAGCGCGUUCUUGUGAGGAGUGGAUCGCUGAAGAACAACCUGCUCCGUUCUUCAAUCGCGUCCUGGUAAAGGAAUCGAUCGCCGGAGAACGAAGUGCUCUAUUCUUCAAUCUUGUACCCAAUUCUGAAGUUUGAUUUCUGCAAUCUUGUACGUAAUUCUGAAGUUUGCUUUUCUCCUGCAAUCUUCCCCAUGAAUCGCUCACUGGAAUUGAUGGAAUCGGGAACAUCAUAUUGCUUUCAAGUUGAUCAACCUCUGCCCUUUAUUCAUGGAAGAAGCAGCCGAGUGAGGACGACCUGCUCUCUUCUCUAUCUGAGGUAUAUUUUUCCGGUUUGGUACCUCAUGUUGGCAUGGAAUUUAAAAAUUCAGAUGAAGCUUGGGCAUUUUGGGGUCAGGAAAAGGUGCACGAACAAGAGAUCCGCCGAUGGCAAGGUUACUUCAUGCCAAUUUAUUUGUGCAAGGAAAUGCAAUGCUUAAUCUCUUUUGCCAAACAAAAUUCAGUUAUCCUUAUCAAGUCUGAAAUGUACAAGUAGCAAGUGGAAUGCUACAGAGACAUGGCCUAAUUCAGUUGACAAGUUUGAAAACUAGAUUCAGUUAUCAGCUAAUCGGCCUGCAGCGGUGCGAAAACGACGGCGUGGUUCAGCCAACCACCACCAUGGAGAUGGGUGUGCAGGUGCUCGACGUGGGGUUGCUGCGUGCGUACACCGAGCUAUCCACCACGGGUGGUGACUCGAGGAGGCCGACGAACUGGACGCCCUUAGACCCGCAUGAAGGACGGAGCCCAUGUAGCGCGCGUGGCCUGUAUCCUGGACACUGCCAACCACGGGGGCUCCCACUGCACGUGCUGCCAUGUAUCUUGGGCGCCUCCAACUAGGGUGCUCCCUCUGCGUGUUGCUCUGUAUCCCGGCCGCCGCCGACCACGGGGGCUCCCGCUGCAUGUGUUGCUCUUUGUCCACCGCUCCUUUUGCGAACGAAUGGCGAUGGCGAGGAUGCGCCGAGAGCUCGUUCGACCACGGCGGAGAAGGGGAAUUCCAGGGGAACAAGGAGAUAUCCAUUUUGUUCUUUUCUGUGUUUAUUGUGGGCUACUGAUGGGCCGAAGCGUCGCUUCUUUUCAUUGCGAGUGAAUGCUUCUGCCAUCGGAUGGCUUACUAAUGGGGUAUACGCACAUCAUGUCCCUCUGCAGUAGCCAGUAGGCGGAGCAACGUUGGAGGAUCUCGAUCUUUAUAGAUAGGUGAGAGAGCUUUGAGAUUGCUAUACGGCUAUAUAGUUUGGUCCAUUCAGCAAAAAAUUGGGCUUCUGUAGUGUUGUACAUAUGCAAAAACUUUUGAAGGUGCGUGUCAUCAACUUAUGGAUUCCUUUUUACUGCAUCUCUUGUCCAUUUUUGUUGGUCAUAUAAAUCUUAAGAGCAGUCUAUUUGUGCAGCAAUGAACUUCCAUAAAUUAAUAAUUUGAUCCUUUAUCGUAGUACUAUCAACUUAUAUUUUCAUGAAAUUAUAAGAUUUAUUAUCCUUCCAUGUAGUAAUAAACCAGUAAUUAUAGCCUAUUUAAGCUCAAGAUGAUAAUGAUAUUGAACUUAGGAGUUCAUAAUGGUUUGGAGAUUUUCAUUGUUUUUUUAGUUUCAUACACAUUAAGGAGCAUCAUGGUCAUGUUAGCUACUAUUGGAUUUUGUUGUUUCUCACUAAGAGGAAUUCGACUUAUAAUCCCAAUGUUAUGUUGUUAAUUUCCAGACGAUUAAAAAUUGGGUAUGUGCUUUAUUGUGAAAGUUCACAAGAGAAGCAUGCUAUUUGAAAUAACAGGUUGCAAAUACCUUGCCAUCGGAGGAUUAACACUAAAAGCCCACAAAUGAACUACAUUGCCAAGGGCCUUCAGCUUAUGAGUAAGCGUGGUUCCACCAUUAGUGGUUUGUGCAUCUGAUUUGUCUGUUACCGAGUUCUGUGACUGGUUUCACGUGUACCUGACAUUUCUUGGUACAGCCGUAGGGGCGAGGAUGUCAUAUUGAUGCAUCUUGAUGGUUUGUUUCUGUAUGAACUAGCAAUCUUUUGUUUCUUAAAUGUACAAACUGAUAUCUCAGAACUCUGAUAAAAUUAUGUCAUUUGAUCAGCUCAUGUGGAACCUACUAAUUUUCAUUGUCUCUAUACACACACUUGCAUAUCUUUUUCCCCAGUGGCCCAUUCGUAGGUACCAACUAGAAGAAAAUAAGAUUGAAGGUAUGUUUCUCUUGAUUGGAAAUAUUAUACCUCAAAUUUAGUUCAUUUUAGAUUCAAUGAUGACUGAAUAACAUGUGAAUUAAGUUAUGCAGUUUCAGAGGUCAUGAUUGUGAUACAUGACAAACGUUUUGUCUACAUGAUGACCAUCUAUAUGGUACCAUGGUUGCCGGCGAGGUGUUGUGAUGGCGUCCGCUUCCGAGAUGCACUAGCUGGGUCCAUAAUUUAAUUCUCUUGAUGGACUGAUUUUGUAUCAAUCAAUUAAUUAUCUUUGGCAGUUGUUGCACAAUGGACGUGGGCAUGUUGAUUCAUAAAGCAAAAUAUUUC